AAUUUUUAUUUAUAUUAAAAGUUAAAAAUUAAAAGUUAGCACAGUUAAUAUCAUUUAUACCCUUAAUAAAUAAAUUAAAUAAAUUAGAUAAAAUAAAAAACGAAUUUAGUGUUUAUUUGAUUAGAUAAGUGUUUACAAUUAAUAAAAAUAAAAAUUAUCCAUAACUUAGAAAUAUAUUUAAAAUAAAAAGAUAAUUCUUAUAUAUAUUGUGUUGUUAUCCUUUUUUGGAACAAUAUUGUGUUGUUAUGCAAAAAUAUAUAUUUUAAUAAAAUGGUUAAAAGUUUAAAAACAGAAAAUACAUAACUAAAUAUUAAGUAAAAUUAUUAUUUUUUAUAUAAUUGAAAGAGAAUAUCAAGUGAUCUCUAAGAUUUAUAUCUUAUUUAUUAAAAAUGAAUAUAGUGCACAAAGGAAUUUUAAAAAUUUCUAAUACAUAAGAAUUUUCAAUGAAAACAUAAAUAACAAUUUAAAAAUAUUUUUUAAUUAGUAAUACAUGUAUUAAUAAGUAGUUAUAAAUCUCUAUGCCCGCACGUGCGGGCGAAACACCUAGUUUAAUAGUAAACUGAUUAAAUUACUUCAAAAUCUAAACACUUUAUCUAAUAACCUUACCCCUUAAAUAUAAAAUCUUAAACCAAUCAAUAAAAUAAAAAUCAAAUUAAAAACAAUUCUUUAAUAAAAAUAAUAAUUAAUGUUAUUUUGAGAAUUUUUUUUCCUUUUUGUGUAUAUUUAGCAAAACAAUGUUGGAAAAAUACCUUAGAUAUCAGUACAGUGCGGUUCUGGACAGACGUCUGGCAUCCUAGGGGAAGGCUGAUUGAAUUUGCUGGUGAGAUUGGUACACAGAGGUUGGGUAUCAGAAGAGAUAUGAAGAUUAAGGAUGGAUUUCGUGAGGGAGCGUGGAGGUUUCACAGGUGUAGGGAUCCUUUUCUUUGUUCUAUGAUCGCCGAGAUUGAAGCUUCAAACAUAUGUCUUACUGAUGGUCGUGAUGUGGUGCUAUGGAAGCGAUCGAGGAGUUGAUGAUUAUGUCUCGAAAUUUGUCUCCUCUGACACUUGGAAUCAGAUCAGACAGCUGAGAGAUAGAGUGAAUUGGAGUAAGCUGGUAUGGUUUUCGCAAGGGAUCCCUCGCUAUGCUUUCAUAACAUGGCUGACCAUUUGAGAUAGACUCUCCACAGGUCAUCGUACAAGUAUUUGGGGACAACCACAGUGCUGUGUUUUCUGCGGGGAGCCGGAUGAGACAAGAGAUCAAUUAUUUUUGCUUGUCCCUAUAUCUUUAUGACAUGGCUGAGGUGGUAGGGAAUCUGUUUGGAAGGGAGCCUGACCCAGACUGGGACACAACUCUGUCUCGCCUGCUCAUGGGUUCGUUUGAUCGUCACACUUUCAUCUUUGCAGGGACGUAAUGUUGUGAUGGAGCAAAGUUGGGGUGAUCCUAAAGUCAAGAACGUGGGUGCCAGUCUUGUCAAGCUAGUUGCUAAUGCUAGUAGUGAUGGUACGUACACUGCACUGCUCUUCAGUUGAUUCAAUUGCCUUGCUUGUUUCUUUAUUGCUUUCGUAUGGAUAGUAGUUGAUUGUGAUGAAUGUGUGUGAUGAAUGAUGGUUAGAGUUAGGUUGUAGUUAGUGAAUGCUGGUUAGAGUUAGCUUGUUUUAGUAUUAGAUUAUGACUGUCUGCUAGGUAAUUAGGUUAGUCCAUGGUAUAUGUCAAUCUAAUAUAGUCCAAGGUUAAUAUAUUCUAAUUCAAAACUCAUUAAUCUAGUAAUUUUAUCAUCCAGCCGUGUGACGAUCAAACGAACCCAUGAGCAGGCGAGACAGAGUUGUGUCCCAGUCUGGGUCAGGCUCCCUUCCAAACAGAUUCCCUACCAACUCAGCCAUGUCAUAAAGGUAUAGGGACAAGCAAAAAUAAAUGAUCUCUUGUCUCAUCCGGCUCCCCGCAAAAAACACAGCACUGUGGUUGUCUCCAAAUACUUGUACGAUGACCUGUGGAGAGUCUAUCUCGAAUGGUCAGCCAUGUUAUAAUAACAUAAAAUUUAAGUAGCUCUGAAUGUCAUUAGUAAUUUUUUUUUUUAAACUCUAAAUUAAAAACUAUCAUUAGAGAUACAAAAUCGCAUAGUUUCUUAGCUAGAGUUCUUAAAUCCAUUUAGGUACAUUUAUAUAAUUAAAUAAUGGUUAAGAAAUACAUAAGGGUUUCUGUGGAUAAUCAUGAUCUUAACGAUCAAACCGGUUACAAACCGGUGUCUUGCAGAUUACAUGAGAUUGAUGCAUGUGCAGACUUUCAUAGAAUUAUGUUAUUAUUAUUUUCUUUUUGGGUCAACUUUUAGGGUGAAUUUCCUGUAAGUAUAAUAUCGAAGCAUCUUUAUAUAUAAAAGAAGGUUUGUAUCUCUCCUGAGGGCUCCACGUCGGAAAAUCGAUUUCUGUGCUUGCGACACGUGUCCAGGCCUCUUUCGGAUUUUACGGUUCAUGCCACUCUUUCUUCUCCGCCGUUCCAGAGUUUGAUCGCGUCGUUUGAUCUUCGUUUUAACAAUCCAAAACGCCUCCGGUUACAGAUUCAUCGCGUUAACCCCUUUUUAAAUCCAUCAACCACGAUCUAUCAUUCAAUUCGAGAUUCUCUUAGGCAAGGCGGUGUAUCUUCAAGUAUAAAAAGUGUUCUUCACUAGGUGAUAAACAGAGCAUCAGAUGGAGGACUACCACCUCUUUAUGUGGCUGCUCUGGAGCGACACAUAGAGACAGACAGUGCAGUUACUUUGGAUUUGGGAGCUUUUGUUGCUCAGAUCACUGCCACAAUAGAUCGUAGAGGUUAUUCUUCUAAAGGAGGUGGUUGCUUACCAUUUUGAUGAAAACAAGAGAUAGAGCUUUGAGAGAAUGGUUGGUAGAGAAAACUGGAGAAAACAUAAACGUAAAUUUUGGUUCUGGAUAUCCUAGAGGUAUACUAUGUUUAUUCCUCAAAUCUUUUCCUUUUAGUAACUGUUUGUACAGUAAUAUGCUUGUCAUACAAUUUAGAUCCUGAGACAGAGGCAUGGUUAAAGCAAAACAAACAUUUUGUGUGAUCCUCCUCCACCAAGCGAAUGCAUAUGAGAUUAUGAAUGUGAAUGAAAAUACCAAACGGUUGGCCUCGGAAAAUAAGUUACAUGGAAUCAUUUUUUUUUUUGUUGCUCUUCAUUCUCUCAGUCACUUAGCACCUGAUAACUAAUUUGUGUACAAUUAUAUAUUUGAAAAGGUUUCAGCAUGAUGUCUACGUUAUGUCACAAUUUUGGUGAGCUACUAUUCUACCUUCACAUCUGGAAAGCAUGAAUUUCUCAAUUUUUAAGGUCAUAUUUUCCCCAUCCGAGUUUAGUUUCUUCUUCCAAAAUCAUGAAAACUUCUUCUAUUAAAAAUCUACAUCAGCUAAUGGUAUUUUAAAUAGAUUGUGUGAGGGUGCAGCAACAUCAUAGAAGUUUGCUGGAGGGAUUUACAAAGACUCAAGUGAGCACACUUGCAGUGAGGGUGAAAUUAAAGUUGAUGUCAUACAUUUUAGAUUAUGAAUGUGAAUGAGAUGCGAAGUUUGGAGGUCAUAGAGAAACACCAGAUGAAACAAGAGUGACAAGGAUAAAGGAAGAAGACAAUUUGUUCCCAUCAUUUGUGUGUCAUUCGUAUAAUUUAAUAAACAGAGGUGAUCUAAGUUUUAUUGAUAAUGAAACUUUGAUGAAUAAUAUUUAUAUUAAUACCAUAUUUGUCUGUCUUUCUAUACAAGAUGAAUAAAGAAGUGUGUUCAGACAAUUAUUGAGCACUUAAAUUCGAUAAAAAAAUGGUAAUCACAAUCAUCAGUCUCAUGUUAUACAGAAAUCUAAAACCCAUUCGAAUUAUAUAACAUAUCCACUGAAAAACUUAUUCAAAACAAUGCAGGAAAAUUAGUGUGCUAAUAACACUUAUUCCAGUGAUAUUACUAAAACUUUAAAAGGAAAAUUGUAAUAUAAAAAAGGUUGCUAAAAAAAACAUAUAUAAGAGGUUCUUUACCAAAAUAGAUAAGAGGUCAAGUUAAAUACGACAAAUAAGAAGACCAAACUACAUUCCUAUUUUUAGUGCUUUACUCAUUUUUUUAUUUCAAAAUUAUAAAUAUUUUAUAAUAACACAAAUUGUAGGCGAAGGUAAAAAUAAUUUUGUAUUCCAAAAGAAAAAAAAAGAGUUUUAUGUUCAGAACUUACAGCAAACAACCAUAUGAAGCUUUUGAAAAUAUUCUGACAAUUUUUUUAAAAAAUAUAUAUACAGACUAUUCUAAGAGUUUUAAUAAAAAUGAAAAUACAUUAGAAAAGAUAUCAUAAUUUAACGAGAAAUUGCUUAAAAUCCCAUAUUUUAGAUACCAAAACCCAAAUCUUAAUUAUUAUUUUUAACAAAACAUUAUUUGAUUUAUUUUUAAUAAUCUAUUUUGAUUCUACAAUAUAAGAUGUUGAUUAACAUGUAUUUAUCCCUUUAAUGGGAGUCAAUAGGAGAAUUCAUAUACCAGCGAUACACAAAUAUAUAUUACCAGCGCUUAGUAUCUAAUAUCUAUAAUGUCUCAUAUCUUCAUUCUUGGAAUAUGGAUGAUGAAAAACAAGAAUUUCAUAAAAACUAAUAAUAUGUAAAAAUGAUAUUUAUAGAAAAAUUUAGUUUUUCCAUGAAAGUAAAAAUAGUCAUUCGUAUAUUCUGAUGGAAGCAAUAUAUAUAUUGAUAAAAAAAAUUAAAAAGGUGAUCGUUGUAGUAGUUAACAAUUGAUAUUAAAUCUACAGUGAAGCUAUUAAAUCAAAUUUUGAAUAAUUAUUUAGUUUAACAUGGUUAUAUUUAGUUGUAAACUAUUUUCCGUACAUUUUUGUAAUCAUUUGUAUUUUGUUAUAAAUAUCUAAACAUCAUUCACUAAAUUUCAAUGAGAAUUUAACAGCUUAUUAGUUUAUAAUUAUUUUUCAAGUCAAAACAACAUAUACUAAAAAAAAAGAUAAAAAACCCCUAAGAUUUUUCCUACAAUUUAUUCUUACAUCUCAAUCAAAACUUACAAGAUAUUACUGAAUAUUAGAUGCACCACAUAAGUUAUUAUAUGAUAAUAACUUCCACAACGACGGCAUAAUUACCUACUUAAGAGUAAAAUAUAAGCAAAAUAUAUAAUAUAUAUAAAUCUAAAAUUUAAACCCGACAAAGCAUUUGACUGUUUGUCACUAUCAGUGCAUCGUUGAUUGGUUUAUUUCAAAUUUAACCUGCCGAGCAUGUUUGAGAUAUAAUACUUUAGUAUUAUUAUUUUUGGUUUACCUGACUAACAAUUAACCGACCUGUUAAUAAAUUUUACUCAUAUAUUUACUUAAUCUAUAAUUACAUGUUCGUUUCUUUCCUCACUAGAUUCUUUAAAUUCAUCCAACUCCAGAAAAUUACCAAAAAUGAUGUGAUGGUACCAUUAAAAAAUAAAUAAAUAAAAACUACUUAUCAAGACAGUAUGGUAUAUUUAGUCUUCAAAUACAAUAACAUGUACAAAAUUUAACUAAUAUGUAUAUUUUAAGAUAUAACGAUUUAUAUCAAAUAUUUACUGUAACUAUUUAUAUUAUU